GGGGCGACAGAGAGCCCUUGAAGGGGCGCAGCGGGCAGGUUCGGACCCGCGGGAGAUCACGCAGCGAGUCUGCGCUCUGAGCCGCCACCUCCGAGCAGUGGCCGGAUUGCCGCCUUACAGGGAGCCACUCGGCGCAAGGACCUACCCAGCGCCGGCUCGCUCUCGAUCAGAGGAAUUUCUACAGGUCCGCACUGAGGCCGGCGAGCUCGCCUACUCUUCUCGGCCCACUCCGUUGUGCCCGGCUUGCGAAGAUGUCCGCCAAGCCCGACGCCGGCUUCGUGAAAGAGGCUUCUCGCCAGAUCCUGGCCGGUGGUUCCGCUGGUCUUGUAGAAAUUUGCCUGAUGCACCCCCUCGAUGUGGUGAAAACCAGGUUCCAGAUUCAGAGAUGUGCAACUGAUCCAAACAGUUACAAAAGCUUGGGAGACAGCUUUCGAACAAUUUUCCGAAUAGAAGGGUAUGUAUG